CGGGACACGUGGUAUCCUGUCUGAAUAUGGGGGGACCAUCCUCCAAGGCUAAAUACUCCUGACUGACCGAUAGUGAACCAGUACCGUGAGGGAAAGGCGAAAAGAACCCCGGCGAGGGGAGUGAAAAAGAACCUGAAACCGUGUACGUACAAGCAGUGGGAGCACGCUUAGGCGUGUGACUGCGUACCUUUUGUAUAAUGGGUCAGCGACUUAUAUUCUGUAGCAAGGUUAACCGAAUAGGGGAGCCGAAGGGAAACCGAGUCUUAACUGGGCGUUAAGUUGCAGGGUAUAGACCCGAAACCCGGUGAUCUAGCCAUGGGCAGGUUGAAGGUUGGGUAACACUAACUGGAGGACCGAACCGACUAAUGUUGAAAAAUUAGCGGAUGACUUGUGGCUGGGGGUGAAAGGCCAAUCAAACCGGGAGAUAGCUGGUUCUCCCCGAAAGCUAUUUAGGUAGCGCCUCGUGAAUUCAUCUCCGGGGGUAGAGCACUGUUUCGGCAAGGGGGUCAUCCCGACUUACCAACCCGAUGCAAACUGCGAAUACCGGAGAAUGUUAUCACGGGAGACACACGGCGGGUGCUAACGUCCGUCGUGAAGAGGGAAACAACCCAGACCGCCAGCUAAGGUCCCAAAGUCAUGGUUAAGUGGGAAACGAUGUGGGAAGGCCCAGACAGCCAGGAUGUUGGCUUAGAAGCAGCCAUCAUUUAAAGAAAGCGUAAUAGCUCACUGGUCGAGUCGGCCUGCGCGGAAGAUGUAACGGGGCUAAACCAUGCACCGAAGCUGCGGCAGCGACGCUGAUGCGUUGUUGGGUAGGGGAGCGUUCUGUAAGCCUGUGAAGGUGUGCUGUGAGGCAUGCUGGAGGUAUCAGAAGUGCGAAUGCUGACAUAAGUAACGAUAAAGCGGGUGAAAAGCCCGCUCGCCGGAAGACCAAGGGUUCCUGUCCAACGUUAAUCGGGGCAGGGUGAGUCGACCCCUAAGGCGAGGCCGAAAGGCGUAGUCGAUGGGAAACAGGUUAAUAUUCCUGUACUUGGUGUUACUGCGAAGGGGGGACGGAGAAGGCUAUGUUGGCCGGGCGACGGUUGUCCCGGUUUAAGCGUGUAGGCUGGUUUUCCAGGCAAAUCCGGAAAAUCAAGGCUGAGGCGUGAUGACGAGGCACUACGGUGCUGAAGCAACAAAUGCCCUGCUUCCAGGAAAAGCCUCUAAGCAUCAGGUAACAUCAAAUCGUACCCCAAACCGACACAGGUGGUCAGGUAGAGAAUACCAAGGCGCUUGAGAGAACUCGGGUGAAGGAACUAGGCAAAAUGGUGCCGUAACUUCGGGAGAAGGCACGCUGAUAUGUAGGUGAAGCGACUUGCUCGUGGAGCUGAAAUCAGUCGAAGAUACCAGCUGGCUGCAACUGUUUAUUAAAAACACAGCACUGUGCAAACACGAAAGUGGACGUAUACGGUGUGACGCCUGCCCGGUGCCGGAAGGUUAAUUGAUGGGGUCAGCGCAAGCGAAGCUCUUGAUCGAAGCCCCGGUAAACGGCGGCCGUAACUAUAACGGUCCUAAGGUAGCGAAAUUCCUUGUCGGGUAAGUUCCGACCUGCACGAAUGGCGUAAUGAUGGCCAGGCUGUCUCCACCCGAGACUCAGUGAAAUUGAACUCGCUGUGAAGAUGCAGUGUACCCGCGGCAAGACGGAAAGACCCCGUGAACCUUUACUAUAGCUUGACACUGAACAUUGAGCCUUGAUGUGUAGGAUAGGUGGGAGGCUUUGAAGUGUGGACGCCAGUCUGCAUGGAGCCGGCCUUGAAAUACCACCCUUUAAUGUUUGAUGUUCUAACGUUGACCCGUGAUCCGGGUUGCGGACAGUGUCUGGUGGGUAGUUUGACUGGGGCGGUCUCCUCCUAAAGAGUAACGGAGGAGCACGAAGGUUGGCUAAUCCUGGUCGGACAUCAGGAGGUUAGUGCAAUGGCAUAAGCCAGCUUGACUGCGAGCGUGACGGCGCGAGCAGGUGCGAAAGCAGGUCAUAGUGAUCCGGUGGUUCUGAAUGGAAGGGCCAUCGCUCAACGGAUAAAAGGUACUCCGGGGAUAACAGGCUGAUACCGCCCAAGAGUUCAUAUCGACGGCGGUGUUUGGCACCUCGAUGUCGGCUCAUCACAUCCUGGGGCUGAAGUAGGUCCCAAGGGUAUGGCUGUUCGCCAUUUAAAGUGGUACGCGAGCUGGGUUUAGAACGUCGUGAGACAGUUCGGUCCCUAUCUGCCGUGGGCGCUGGAGAACUGAGGGGGGCUGCUCCUAGUACGAGAGGACCGGAGUGGACGCAUCACUGGUGUUCGGGUUGUCAUGCCAAUGGCACUGCCCGGUAGCUAAAUGCGGAAGAGAUAAGUGCUGAAAGCAUCUAAGCACGAAACUUGCCCCGAGAUGAGUUCUCCCUGACUCCUUGAGAGUCCUGAAGGAACGUUGAAGACGACGACGUUGAUAGGCCGGGUGUGUAAGCGCAGCGAUGCGUUGAGCUAACCGGUACUAAUGAACCGUGAGGCUUAACCUUACAACGCCGAAGC
rnacentral:rRNA from 1 species